rnacentral:rRNA from 1 species
UACGUAGGGUGCAGGCGUUAAUCGGAAUUACUGGGCGUAAAGCGUGCGCAGGCGGUUUGCUAAGGCAGGUGUGAAAUCCCCGGGCUUAACCUGGGAACUGCGCUUGUUACUGGCAAGCUGGAGUGUGGCAGAGGGGGGUGGAAUUCCACGUGUAGCAGUGAAAUGCGUAGAGAUGUGGAGGAACACCGAUGGCGAAGGCAGCCCCCUGGGCUAACACUGACGCUCAUGCACGAAAGCGUGGGGAGCAAACAGG